UUCUCUAAUCUGACUGGUGUUUGUCUGUCCUCAGCUGAAGGCUGUGUAUGAGAAGAUGGAGCUCCAGCAGAGGGCGAUGGUGAGUCCCGGGGGGAGUGUGGCGUCCAGUCGCUCCAGCCCUGACCCCUCUGAACCUGAGCUCAGUGUCCUGCAGCCCUACCUGGCCAGUGAGAUCGAGGUCACCCACUCUGCCCUCAAAUCAACCACUCCUCUAUCGGUGCGAAGCAGCAGUGACCCCGCCCUCGCCCCACCCCUGGAUGUCAUUUCAUUGGACCCUGAGGACAUGAGCAGACCCCAGUCCACUGGUGUCGGUCAUGCAACCUCUGUGAAGGGAGGAGCCAUGGACAAACCCAAGGUGGACGUCCCAAACUCCAGGACUGCACAAGUCGACUUAAGGUGAGGGAGUUCGUGUAUGCUUAGUGUAUGAUUAUGUAUAAACACUCAAAAUGG
rnacentral:lncRNA from 1 species